AUGGCUCAGAUUGAACGCUGGCGGCAGGCCUAACACAUGCAAGUCGAGCGGAUGACGGGAGCUUGCUCCUUGAUUCAGCGGCGGACGGGUGAGUA
rnacentral:rRNA from 1 species